AGAUAAGAAAAUGCAAAAAAAAAAAUAUCUGUUAGAUUUGGAAUAUACCAAAGAUUUUAAUGAACAGCCAUUACCGAAGCGUAAAGUUAGGCAUCUAUCUGAUGAAGAGUCAGACGAUGAGGCGGUGCCACAUGAAGAAGACAAAAUAAAAAAGCAAAAAACUGUAGAAGAUAACAAUAUACAAGAAGAUAAUAAAGAAAAAAGUAAAAAAGUAGAACGUGACAAACGAUUCGAUAAAGAUAAGAUAAAAAAAAAAGAAGAUGGAAAGGAUUUUGUUAUACAGAACGAGUUAGAAAAAAAAAAAAAAAAAAAAACAGACGAUAGUAAAGACGACAACGAUGGUAAAGAGCUUGAUACAAAAAAAAUGAAAAAAGAGUUGGAAAAAAUAAAUAAGGAUAAUAGAAAAAUUAGCAAAGUCGACANNNNNNNNNNNNNNNNNNNNNNNNNNNNNNNNNNNNNNNNNNNNNNNNNNNNNNNNNNNNNNNNNNNNNNNNNNNNNNNNNNNNNNNNNNNNNNNNNNNNAAAAAAAGAAGAAGAAAAAAAAGAAGAAGAAAAAAAAGAAGAAGAAAAAAAAGAAGAAGAAAAAAAAGAAAAAAAAAAAAGAGAAGAAAAAGAUCAAACAUCAGAUGAUGAAUACAUUAAGUAUUUAAAAGAUAAUGUAAAAUAUGAAGAGACCCGAGGGAAUAGUGCCUCAGUAGUAGUAGCAGCAGCUGACGCGAGUGAUGAAAUUAUAACAGAUGUGUUUUCUGAUCAGAAGAGUAAAGAAGAGAUGAUAGUAACAAGUAUGACAGAAAAUGUCAGGACUGAUAAGGAGGAGCGAUACGACAUAAUUGAAACUAUGACUGAACAUGAUAAAGAUGCCGAUAACAAACUACAACAUGACCAACAUCAAAAUAAAAGCUAUUUAGAAAAAGAGAAAAAAAAAAAAAUGUUAGAAGAAUUAAACGAAGGUGAAAAAAAUAAACCAGAAGAGAUUAAAAAGAAUCACAGUGAUAGUAAAAAACUGAUAAGCCAUAAUAAUGACUGGAUGGUGGGAAAAGGUAAAAGUAAAGUAAGCGAUAUAAAUGAUAUUCAAAAAAAAACAGAAUUAAACGAAAAUGAUAACACUUUUGAAGUAAAAGAUGUGUCUUUCAAUAAAAAUACAAUUUUAGAAAAUGAAAAACAUAAUAAAAAUGAAGAUACUACAAUUAUUGUAAGUUCAAAAGUGUCUAUGCUAGAGAGGGUACCUUAUCAUGAACAAACAGAUGAAGACCAGUAUAUAUUCGACGAAGAAUAUGUUAAAAUAAUGCAAGAUAAAGAAAAAACAGAAAAAGAUUUUGUUUUUUACAUAAAUAAAGAUAUAUCAAACAAACUAAAAUUAUAUAAAGAUAAUUUAAACAAUUUUAUAAAAAAUAAGUCAAUAAAUGAAAAUGAUAAUGAUGAAGAAAAAAAAAAAAAAAACUUAUUAUACGAUGGGGAAUAUCCAAAUAAUUUGGAAUAUACAGAUGACGAUGAAAAUGAAGAAGAACCACAAUUUUAUGGCAUGAGAGAAGGGAUUUAUGACCAGGACGAGUUUUUAAUCAGUGAGCUUAAAAAUAAGGACAACGAACUUGAAGCAUCAACGACACUAGCUAAUAAUAUGCACAUAAUAAAUAAUUUAAAAAUAAAAAAAAAACAAAUAAAAGAACCGGGUCUACUUGACAUGCAGGGAACAAUGCAUGAAACGACUAAGCUAUUGAAUGAUCUUAUAAUUAAAAGUGAGAUUGCAAAGAUGGGAGAAAGUCGUUUUCAAGGGGGGCAACAGGACUUAUUGCAAAGUGACCAACAUAAGUUGCUACAAAUUGAACUACACAACGAUCAGGGUGGGUUGCUAUAUAACGAGCAGGAUGGCUUUCCACAAAAAGGGGAAAACGACUUUCUACAAAAGGAACGACAAGAGGAACGACAAGAGGAACGACAAGAGGAACGACAANNNNNNNNNNAGGAACGACAAGAGGAACGACAAGAGGAACGACAAGAGGAACGACAAAAGGAGCGACAAGAGGAACGACAAAAGGAACGACAAGAUGUUACGCAUGACGUAAAACCAAAGAUGUACGACCCAAGAUAUGUAAAAAAUUUGCAAUAUGAACAAAACGAAUUAAAAAAAAUUAUUUUUUCAGAUGUAACAGACUUAUUAGACAUACUAGAUACCCAAGGCGGUGCUAGCUCGGUGAGUAAGAACAAA
rnacentral:lncRNA from 1 species